UACAGAGGGUGCGAGCGUUGUUCGGAAUUAUUGGGCGUAAAGGGCGCGUAGGCGGUGCGGUAAGUCACCUGUGAAAUCUCCUGGCUCAACUGGGAGCUUGCAGGCGAAACUGCCGUGCUGGAGUGUGGGAGAGGUGCGUGGAAUUCCUGGUGUAGCGGUGAAAUGCGUAGAUAUCAGGAGGAACACCCGUAGCGAAGGCGGCACUCUGGGCCGGAACUGACGCUGAGGAGCGAAAGCGUGGGGAGCGAACAGG
rnacentral:rRNA from 1 species